rnacentral:rRNA from 1 species
CUACGGGGUGCUGCAGUGGGGAAUAUUGCACAAUGGGGGGAACCCUGAUGCAGCAACGCCGCGUGGAGGAUGACGCAUUUCGGUGUGUAAACUCCUUUUAUAUGCCAAGAAAAUGACGGUAGCAUAUGAAUAAGCACCGGCUAACUCCGUGCCAGCAGCCGCGGUAAUACGGAGGGUGCAAGCGUUACUCGGAAUCACUGGGCGUAAAGGACGCGUAGGCGGGUUGGAAAGUCAGGUGUGAAAUCCUACAGCUUAACUGUAGAACUGCACUUGAAACUUCUAAUCUAGAGUAUGGGAGGGGGAGAUGGAAUUAGUGGUGUAGGGGUAAAAUCCGUAGAUAUCACUAGGAAUACCUAAAGCGAAGGCGAUCUCCUGGAACAUUACUGACGCUAAGGCGUGAAAGCGUGGGGAGCAAACAGGAUUAGAUACCCCUGUAGUC